rnacentral:rRNA from 1 species
AUCAGCUAGUUGGUGAGGUAACGGCUCACCAAGGCUAUGACGGGUAGCUGGUCUGAGAGGACGACCAGUCACACUGGAACUGAGACACGGUCCAGACACCUACGGGUGGCAGCAGUCGAGAAUUUUUCACAAUGGGGGCAACCCUGAUGGAGCGACGCCGCGUGGAGGAUGAAGGCUUUCGGGUUGUAAACUCCUGUCAUUUGAGAACAAGGUGCAGCGAUUAACUGUCGCUGCAUUGAUAGUAUCAGAAGAGGAAGAGACGGCUAACUCUGUGCCAGCAGCCGCGGUAAUACAGAGGUCUCAAGCGUUGUUCGGAUUCAUUGGGCGUAAAGGGUGCGUAGGUGGCGGGGUAAGUCAGGUGUGAAAUUUCGGAGCUCAACUCCGAAACUGCAUUUGAUACUGCCUUGCUUGAGGACUGGAGAGGAGACUGGAAUUCACGGUGUAGCAGUGAAAUGCGUAGAUAUCGUGAGGAAGACCAGUGGCGAAGGCGGGUCUCUGGACAGAUCCUGACAUUGAGGCACGAAGGCCAGGGGAGCAAACGGGAUUAGAUACCCCGGUAGUCCUGGCAGUAAACGGUGCACGUUUGGUGUGGGGGGAUUCGACCCCUUCCGCGCCGGAUCUAACGCGUUAAACGUGCCGCCUGGGGAGUACGGUCGCAAGAUUAAAACUCAAAGAAAUUGACGGGGGCCCGCACAAGCGGUGGAGUAUGUGGCUUAAUUCGAUGCAACGCGAAGAACCUUACCUGGCCUUGACAUGCAUCUCUAAGUUGGUGAAAGCCAGCGAGUCCCGAAAGGGACAAUUUGCACAGGUGCUGCAUGGCUGUCGUCAGCUGGUGUGGUGAGAUAAAGGGUUAAGUCCCGCAACGAGCGCAACCC